AGUUAGUAAUUGUUUGGAGCUGGAGAAGGAGGGACUGUAUGGCUUGGCUGGAAGAGCAGCAGGAUCAUGGACAGCUAAGUGGGGGCAGGGCCUCGGGGAGUGAGAGGCUCCUGGCUGGCUGCUAGGACUGAGCCAAAGACAGUUUGCUAGCAGGGACUGGAGGAGCAAUGAAGGAGCUCCUGGCUGGCUGCGGGGAUUAAGUGGGGACUGAGCCCGGGGAGGGUCACAGGAAGAUAGUGUCUCCAAGGAGAAAGUCCUGAGGAUACAGCCCCAAACCAGGGCUGGACCGGUUUAAAGACCGUGGACACACCCAACCAGUGGGGGUGCUUGUGAAAGAUGUUGAGAAGGGUCCAAUCAUCACAGUACACACAGUGCUGCUAACUCUCAGAAUUUGAUCACAAGUCUCCUGGAUUCAUAUGACUAGGAGAGAAUCUUUCAUUUAAAAAAAGAAAAGAAUCUCAAAUGGUGGAGGCAGCUCGGAAAAAUGUUCUGCUGAUCUCAAAGCUGGAUGGACUGAUUCUACUUCAAAAUGGAGGCAGCUGCAGAAUGCCCAGUUGGAAACAUUUUUCAAGAGGGGGACUGAAACUAUAAAAACGAGGGACAAACACCCCUGGGCACCCCUCUAUCUCUCUGUCCAUUGCAUUCACUGCACCUGAAGAGACAAAGGAAGCAGGCGUACAGGAUGAGCUAAUUCCCAAAUGACCAGCAGGAGGCGCCACGCCGAUGCUGGCUGCCUUGACAUGGGAAAGAAAAAGCUCGGGACUCGCCUCCUCUUGUGCACUGAUGUGGUGGAUAACUAGGAUACUGGUAUUUCUACUCCUUCCAAGGAGGAAGACUAGACCAGAGACUUCCCUCCACCCCACUAAGGCUGACUGUCAGAGGUAUAGCAACAAUGAACAGGAAUCUCUUACUCAUUUGAAACAGCAGGGAGCUUCAUGUAGACAAAAUGUGAUUUCCCGGUUGAAUUAAGCCAGGAAUGUAGGACUAACACCUAUUUGCAUGAAAAGUGCAUGCAAUUUUUAUGACCACAAGGGGGAUCUCAGUUUUACAUCUCAUCUAAAAGGCAGCAACAUGGUUCCUGCAGCAUUACUUCAGUGCUGACUUGGAAAGAAGAGUGACAGCUUCUGAAUUGCCAAGGCCACUGACUGCAGUGACAGUGUUCUACCCAGGGUUUUAAAAAGUACAUAAAAUUAAUUCAGCUUUGUGCAUGUGCAACUCUGCUGAAAUUUAUGGUUUAAAUUAAGGUCUGGGGUGAACCAAUGGCUUCAAAACUUUAUACCAAGGCUGAAUGGGGCCCAGGCUCUUUGAUAAAGCAUAAGAUAAAAUGUUUUAUUACUAUGAUUAUGGCCAGGUUCCGUAUGGCAAGAAUAUUCAGUUGCUUAAUGGCCAACAUUCACCCAUCAGUCAAACAGAUAAUUGGCAAGAACCUAGCCUAGCACCAACAGACCAGGAGAAGUGACCUGGACUCACUUCACAAGCAGAUGUCCUACUGUUGCAGGGCCAUAAGACAGAGAGGUCCAUUGUUUUACUGUUAGCUGUUUGUCACCCAGCUUCUCAAAAACACAAUUCUGUAUUGUCUCCACAGCGUGCACAUUUUUCUUCCUUAUACUUACUGAGCAUGGAGCUGGGAAAAGGAUUCACAUGGUCAGCGGGAGGUGAUGACAAGUUUGCUCCUGCAUCAGAUGAAAUCUUUUGUUGGAGGAGGCAGUUACAAAUGUGAUAUUCAGCUAUCAGGUGUAUGACUUGUAUGGAUGAAAAGCUGACAUGUUGUCAAUCUCCUUUUUGAAGACCAGGUUGUGCCUAUUAGGCAUGAGCCUAUGACUGAGCUGAACCACGCUAGCAUGAACCCUAGAAAGUGCUGGGUCGUGGCUCCCUGCCCAUUUUGGGAUGGCUUGCACUCCAGGGAGAAAUUGCAUCAGUUACAUCUAUAGUGGGUAUAUCUCCAACAGGUUACUUGAAGGGCGUUCCAGAAGGGAAUUGUUGAAACAGUGUUGAAGAUCACAGGCUUCAAUGUUUCUGGAGCAUUAGCAUCCCCAUCUUGUUCAACUACAAAAAUGAAGCACUCUGUCUUUGGCCUUACAUCUGCCUCUUUACUUUACAACUGUAUGAAGCAGCAGAGUGUGUUCAGUGGAGUCCGAAGAGUUCAUGGUCAAGGUUAAACCAGCCCAUUGGAGAAGAGUGCUGCUAAAAUAAAUCUGAAAAUAUUUGUUCACAUUUUACAUCAAUUUGCUUCGGCUGUGCUUGCACCACUUUAGGGUUCCUGUUUGCAAAUAUUCUUGUGCAUAUUCCAGCUUUACACAUGUGAGUACAUACAAAAAGCUAAUCUGAAGUUUGAAUGCUUGGAUAUUCAGCAAAAGUAAAUUCAGAAUUGCAUAACUAACCGGUGAAUGCAAAUUUCAAAUUGCCAUUCAAAUUUUAUGCUUGAAUGUACACUUCAUAGCUUUUUAAGGCCCGGAGAGACCCUUAAGGUGAUCGAGUCUAACCUUAUGCACAAAAUAAGCCAAGUAUUCUUGCACUGAGCCCAAUAACUUUUGGAUGAAGUAAACAAUAUCUUUUGAUAGAUAUCUAGACUUGCUUUAAAUCUCCAAGUGAUGGAGGACUUAUUAUAUUACGUGGCAAGCUGUUCCUCGCUGUUAAAAAUGUG